AAAUUCCACACAGAUGGACCUUCCAGUGCUGCUGGUCAUAAACUCCAUGAUCACUACCUCUGAGCCACACAGUGCUUGUUCUGCAUAUCUUCUUCAAGACAGCAUGAAGCUGCAGUAUUAGCAUCAAAUUCAAGUGCUGCUGAAAAGCAUCGAUCCUCUGAGCAUGUUCAGGAUGGGAGGUCACAAAGGGAUCACAGAAAAGAACUGUCUGGCAGAUCCAUUACAUCACCCAUUGGAACACAGAAAGUAGGGCUGGAACACAAGUCUGAGGCUUCUCUUUCCAGAAAUGGCCCCAAGAAGUCAAGGUUUUCAUCAUGGACACUGGUAGAUGCUUUGAGAUCCUGACAGGGGGUCCCAGGAGUGACCAUCAGGUAGAUCAAAUAAUUCAGAUACAAGAAACAGAGUAGAGCCAGGCAAAGUCACCUGGACAUAAAAGUCAAGAGUUGACUGCAGCCAUAUUGAAGUUGUUUAAAAAUCUAAAGAAAUAAAGUGUUCCUAGGAAGAUGAAUGCAA